UACUCAAAAAAAAAAAAAAAAAAAGAAAGAAAGAAAGAAAAAGAAAAAAAAAAGCAUCUUCCAGGGGCCCAAAUCCCUUGGUCUCUUCCUUCCAGGCCCCUUUGCUAAGGUUGAAUCACACUUCACCCUGGGUUCCUUCCCAAUCCAUCAACCCAUUGUUCAUUCUAUCACCAGUGCCCAAGAAUAGCCCUCUUGGACUGGAUGAAAGGUGUAUCAGUCAGCUUUUUUUUUUCAAUUUUUUUUUUUAGUUAUAAAAUACCUUUAUUUUAUUUAUUCUUAUGUGGUGCUGAGGAUUGAACCCAGUGUCUCACACGUGCUAGACAAGCACUCUACCACUGAGCCACAACCCCAGCCACUCAAUCAGCUUUCACUACAAUAAAGCUGUGAAACAAGCUUCCCAUAAAUGCACAGAUUACAACAGUAAGCAUUUCUUUUCUUGCAAGCAUUUACCUUUUUUGCUUGUAAAUGUUUAUAGAUUCCAGUUUCAGUUCUAGGCUUCUAUGGGCUCCCAUCUCUUACCCUUUUUUCCAUAUUCUCCUUGAAACUUCAGCCCUCUGGGACAUGCACUUCUCAUGACGCAUGGCAAGUACGCAAGAAUUCAAAACUGUAACUACGUGUUAAAAGUUUCAGCGCCUAUUGCAUCAUGUCUGUCUGCAUUUCAAUGGCCAAAGCAAAUCACAAAGCUAACAUAAAAGCCGGUACGGCAAGAAAAUAUACUCUGCUCCAAGGAAGAAAAGUAUAUGACUGAAUAUUUGCUGAAUGAUUCUCCACAUGUAUCACAAUGGAAGUGAGUCUUGUGGCAGAACAAGCCCUCAACCUGUCCAGGAGCCCCCAUGGUAUAAUUAAUAAUCAGCCCAGAGACAUCCUGUGAGAUCUGAACCCUACAACUGAUGGGGGCCAGCCAGCUCUAAAUGAAGGCAGGACCACAAGCAGGAAAAUCUUGGGGACUCCAAUACAUCGUCAAACAAAAUACAACUGCAGAAUAGUAGUGUCGCAUCCAGAGGGUGGCCAUGUUCCUGGCAAGAAGUCUGAGAAUCACAUUGCUGUGUCUUCCUGAACCUCUUUUCCAUAAUGUAUACUUCUCUGGCCCUAGGCUCCCUGGAUUUGGCUACAGGGCAUCUUCCUUGGUUUCUUUCAACUCAAUCUUCUAGGAAACAACUAGGCCCCUGCAACUUCAGCCCAAGCCUCAACACUCCUUCCCCAUCUGCUUCUGGCUGGGCCAUGUUCAGGGUUGUGCAACUGCCUCUUAUUACCUGUGGGAUCUGAACCACAAGGAUGCUGUGUAACAGCCAACCACAAAAUCUCACUGUCAGGCUCACAUGUCUGAGAUCAUCUGGGCUUGGCUAGGUUCACUCCUGGUCUAAGGGCUGGCCGGUUAUUUGCUGAUCUACACUAGCCCUGGCUAGGAAGACCAAUGUGACUAAAGUGACUCAGCUCUGCUUCACAUGUCUCUCAUCCUCCAUUAGCCCAAGCCAAGCAUGUUGUCAUGGUGACUACAGAGAUGCAAGAGCACAAGUAGAAUGCCCAAAGCCUAUUGGUACUCAUUCAAUUCUACAUCAUUAUCUUGGCUGAAGGUCACUGGGUCAAACUUGGAUUCAAGGAGUGUGGGAAUAUAGACUCCACUUCUAUAUUCAUUUUCUAAGGCUUCCAUAAAAAAGUACCACAGAUGGUGUGGCUUAAACAACAAAAAUCUUCACAAUUCUGCAGGCCAGGAGUCGUGGUGUCUUCUGAGGUCUCUCUCCUCGGCUUGUAAAUGGCUGGUUUCUCCUCAUUGUCUACCAUGGAUUUGCCUCUGUACAAUUCUACAUCCUAAUCUCUUCUUUUAGGGACACCAGUCAUACUGAAUGAGAACCCAUUCUAAACCUCAUUUUAAAUUAAUUCCCUCUUUAAAGAUCCUGUCUGCAAAUACAGUCACAUUCUGAGGUAUUGUGGUUAGAACUUCAAUUAAUUUGAAGGCAGGGACACAAUUUAACCCAUAAGUACCUCCUUAGUGGGAGCAGAUAGAAGGUCGCCUGGGAAAGCAUACAGACAUCAGAGAGAAGAACUGAGGUCCUUGCACCAUCUACCUACCAGAAGUGGCAAUACCGGUGUAGAUUGUUCUCUGAACUACCACACUGCUCCAGUUUGGGUGACACACUCCUGUACCCUGGGACAAGGACUAUUCCCUGCCAAGCCCCAGGUUUUUUAUUUGUCAUAGGGUCCAGAUCAUACCUGUUUAGUGUUUAAGAACCACAAGGAGGGACAAGAGCAUUUAGUAAAUGCUGCUUGCGGCAGCUGGCUGGCCCCCAUCAGUUGUAGGGUUCGGAUCCCAACAAAAAAGUAGAAAAAUCUUAACAGAUUUUCAUAAGAUAAAUUAAAAUGAUAGUCACAUAUCUAUUCCAAAACAUACACACACACACACACUGCACUAGACCCAGUCAGUUCUACAAGUAAAUUCUUAACUACAAGUUUCCUUAACUAAAUUGAGUAUCAUUUAGGAAUAAAUGUGAGAAGUAGAUAUUCUCGAACAUGAAUGAAUUCUUCUUCUUUUUUAAAAAGUACCUUUGACAAAGCUCAACCAGUGUAAAUGUAGAAAGAAAAAACGCACAAAUCCGAAACACAAAGGAGACAUAACCAUUCACAAAAAAGAAUUCCAUAAACAACUUUAUGCCACCAAAUGUUUAAACCAACAUAAAAGGGCCAGUUUUCAAUCACAGUCUCCAAAAUUGGAUCUCCAACAAAAAAGUAGAAAAUCUUAACAGAUUUUCAUAAUAUAAAUUAAAAUGGUAGUCCUAUAUCUAUUCCAAAACACACACACACAAAUACACACACACACACACACACACACACACACACACACACAUACUGCCCUAGACCCAGCCAGUUCUACAAGUAAAUUCUUUAAUCCUUUAGGAAACAGAUAACUAACAUUUUAUACUUGCUUUCCCAAUCUACAUAAUAAAAAGAUAUAAUGCAACCCAAAUUGUUUUUAAAUCCCAAGAGAAAAAAAAAGGCCACUUGUGAGCAUAUAUCAUGACCAAUGUUGUAGAUUGUAUUAUUGUCAAAGCUUUUGCUGCACGUCCCUGCAGAAAGAUAAUAUGCCUGCCUCCCUGGUUUGCCCAACAAAAUUUAAAUAGAAGUAACACCUGCCACUUCUGAGCAGAAACAUUAAGCUUAUCUGCUUUACCAUGUUUCUUCAGCCUGGAUCCUAGAAUUAAGAAGAUAUGAAAUCAAUCCUCAAUGUGCUUGUGACAUGAGCAAGGAAUUAACUUCUGUUGUAAUUCAAUAAGAUUUGGGGGUUGCUUGUUACCAAAGCAGAACUUAAUCUAAGCUGAUUAAUACAAUAUGGUAAAGAAUAACUCCAAAAUACAAAGAAAUCAUUAGAAAUGUUAAUAAUGUAAUUAACACACUAACGAAUAAGAAAAAAAUUCUAUGAUAAUCUCAAGAGAUGCAGAAAAGACAUUUGAUAAAAUUUAAUGUUAUUUACAAUAAAACAAAUUAGAUAACCUGAUAAAACAUACCUACCAGAAACCCAGAUCAAACAGCAUACUUAUUAGAAACUUUAUUUUUAUUUUUUUAGAUGUGGGCUACUGGUAUCCUUCUCUUCAUGGAGCUUUAUAGUAAGAUGUUUUAUUGGGCAAGGAGUCUGACUCAUCUCCAGGGAACAGACAUAUCUGUCAAGAAACUGACUUUUGACAUUUUAUAGCACAGAAAAGUGUCACAGGUUUUAUUUGUGUCUGGGCUACCUGUCACAAGUAAUGAGAUCAUGAUUAUCAUAGUUGCCCCUUAAUUUGGGAACUUAUUAGAAACUUUAGAAGUAUUCCCAUGAAAGUUAGGAACAAGGCUGUGACCCCAUGUCAAUGUUUUAUUCAACACUGUAAUAAUUAUGUAAUAGUUAACGCAAUCAUUAUAGCAGUAGCAAUAAUUAAUGUGGUAAGUGAAGGGGAAAAGAAGUAAUCAGUAUAUGUCAGAAAAGAAAAUGCCUAUCAAAAUUUGCAGAUAUGAAUCUCUAUCCAGAAAAUGCAAGAAAACUGGCUGAUUAAAUAAUUCAAACCAGAAAAGAGGUUAGCCAAGUUGAAAUCAUAUCCAAAAACUAAUAAAUUUCCUAUUCUCCAUCAAUGAUUACUGAUGAAGUGUUGCAAAGCCCAGCAUGAUGCCAUACCUGCAAUCCCAGCAACUAGGGAAGCUGAGACAGGAGGAUCACAAGUUCAAGGCCAGCUUCAACAACUUAUUAAGGCCCUAAGCAAUUUAGGGAGACCCUGUCUCAAAAUCAGAAAUAAAAAUGGUUGAGGACGUGGCUCAGUGGUGAAGUGCCCCUGGGUUCAAUCCCCAGUACCAAAAAAGAAAAAAAAAUCAUUUUAUUGUUGCAGAAGAGACCCACCCACAAGCUUGAGUGAGGAUUCCAGGGCAGAGAGAAGACUUAGUAAAAGAAUGGCACAGUUUAUUAGAAGAGAAAAGGAAGAAAGAAAGGGGACAUCCUUAUGGGUGAGAAUGGGUCCUUUCAGAGAGGAGAGUGACAAUGACCCUCACCAAGUCAAGGAUUUCUAAGGACUUCUGGGUCCCUCUGUUCUUGCCUCAAUUUCUCAUAACCACUUAAUCUGUUCAUUACCCUUUGGAUAGCCCUCAGCAAAUUUUCUUUGUAACAGUCUGAUACAUCCCAGUCACAAGAAGUGGUUAGGAUGGUUGUGACAUGGUUUCAGAGACAAGGGAGGGUCACCUGGCCACCUGGAAGGCUGUGACACAAUAGUUUUUCUUAAGGGGAUGUAAUUACUACUUGAAAUACCAGGCUCCCAUCCCCCAGAUGCUGUCUGAUAAGGCUCCUGUGGUUUUCAGUGGCUUUCACUGUUCCUGCUCACCUGUUCAUGGUUGACUAGCUACCUAACAAUUAGGGGACAUUUCAAAUCAGUGGGGGAAGGGCAGACCAUCCAAUAAGUAAUACUGAGUGAACCAGCCAAAGUCAAGGACUAAGCAUAAACCUGGAUCCCUACCUCCAUAGCCACAAAAAGACUCUCAAUAGAUACAGAAAAGCUGCAGACUAGGUAUAAAUUGAGAUUACCAUCAUCCCCUCUCUUUGGGUUUGAUAAUUAGCUAAAAUGGCCCACAUAACUAAGGGAAACACUUUAUCCAUUUAUUAUAAAUUAUACAGAUGAACUUCCAGAUGAAGAGAUAAAUAGGGAAAAGUAUAAAUCAGUACAGAGCUUCCAUGACCCCUCUGGGUACACUACCCUUCCAGAACCUUUGUGUGUUCAGCAACUCAGAAGUUCAUCAGAUUUUUUAUAUGAAGUUCAAGAGUUUGUAUAGAGCUUAACCUAGCUGCAUCCCUUCCUUAAAGGUGAGUGGGUGGGACUCAAGUUCCAACCCUUGAAUCUUUUAAUCACUUGAUCUUUCUGGUGACUAAUCCCACCUUGAGAAUAUCGAAGGCCUUACCCUAGGUCACCUCAUUAGCACAAAUUCAGGUGUGAUCAUAAAGGAGCAUUAUAAAUGAUAAUAACAAAAAGAAAACAUUCCCAGAGCUCAGGAAAUUCCAAGGGUUUUAGGAAUUCAGAGACAUGAACAGGAGACAAAGAUCAGAUCCCCAAAGUAGUCCCUUUACCCCACCCCCAGUCUGAGAUUUCAUUUUCCACUUUCAGUUACCCAUGAUCAACUUCAGUCUAAAACAAUAAAUGGUCAAAUUUCACAAACAAUAAGUGUUCGAUUGUGCACUGUCCUGAGUCAAAUGAUGAAAUCUCACACCACCCUGCUUUGUCCUGACCAGGACCCCCAUCAUUUCUUUGUCUGAAGUAUCCAUGCUACCUAUACUAUCCAUUCAUUAGUCGCUUAUAUCAACACUGCUUAUACUCAAGUAAUCCUAGUUCUGUUUGAUAACAGCCCCAAAGCACAAGGGUGGUGAUGCAAAGGCCACACAUAAAACAUUGGAAAGACAGAUAAACUUUGGUACUAUUUGGCAAUGCUGCAGGGCUUUUGGCAGAAGCAUACUAUAUAUAGGGUUCAGUAUGAUCCAUAGUUUCAGUCAUCCCCUGAGGGUCUUGAAACAUAUACCCCAUGGGUAAGAAGGACUGCCUUAUUCCAUAAUACACCACAGAACCUAAGGAGACAUAGUAACUAAAUGUAAUUUUAUGGGGUUCUGGAACAAAAAGAAGGACAUUUGGGGAAAAGUAAAAAAUAAAUAUUAAAAAAAAAUUCUCUCCUCUCUCUCUCUCUCUCUCUCUCUCUCUCUCUCUCUCUCUCUCAAAAAAAACCCCAUAUACUAAAUUCUGGGUUAUAAAACAAACUUGGACAAAGUUAAUAAAAUUGAAAUCACAGUGUGUUCCCUGACCAUAAUGGAAUCAAACUAGAAAUCAAUAACAGAAAGAUAAUGGGAAAAAUCUCCAAACAUUUGGAAACUAAAAUGCACAUUUCUAAUAAUCCAUGAGUCACAGAUAAUACUCGAGGAAAAUUUUUAACAACAUUGAACUCUCUUCCACCAGGCAAGGACACACAGAGGGUACCAUCUACCAAGCAGGGAUCCGUCACCGAAAUAAUCUAUCUGCUGGAACCUCCUGCCCUCCAGAUCUCUGAAGGUGCCACUCCACUGCUGCCUGACUUUAGCACAUCUUAGUGAACACUACCUCGUACCCUUCCUCAACCUGGACCAGACACACACGAAAUACCCACACACCCACUCCCAGGCCUCUCACCAAACACAUCCCCACUCACCGCUGUCUUAGAGCUCUCGGUGUAGGGCAGGGGCUUGGCCAGCUUCUCCACAUCUGCCCCGCUUGAGCCCACCUGUGUGUAUGAAUAAGAACCUCGGAAGUAGGGGUUGCUGCCCCAGGCUGAGCGCAGGAUUCGCCGAGGUUUUGGAAUGUUGGGGUUCCCUGUUGGGGAGUCAGAAGAGCCAAGAGGAGGAAGGAUAAGAAACAAGGCUGCAUACAUACAGAAGGCAUCCCAGAAUGAACAACUCCACCCCACCUCCAGGGCUCCAGGAAUACCAGGCUGCCUGGAGAAGGCACUGAGGGUGGAGGAGGAGGGAGGGAGGGAGGCCCACUCAUCACCUCUGGGUGACCCCCAGCAGAACAUUCCAUCUCUCAGGGUCCUAAUUGUCCUAUCUUAAAAAUAACUACGGGAGCUGGGAAUGUAGCUCAGUUGGUACAGCAUUAGCCUAGCCCAAGGCUGGGGUUUAAUCCCCAGCACUGCAAAAAAAAAAAAAAAAUUACAGAUAAUCAUAUUUCCCAUCUAAUGUCAGGGGUCUCUGUUAAAUUCUCCUG